UACGUAGGUGACAAAUGUUAUCCGGAAUUACUGGGCGUAAAGGGUCUGUAGGCGGUUGUUUAGGUCUGAUGUGACACCUCUCGGCUCAACUGAGAGUAUGCAUUGGAAACCGGACGACUAGAAUCACGUCGAGGUCGGUGGAAUUCCCGGUGUAGUGGUGGAAUGCGUAGAGAUCGGGAGGAACCUCGAAAGCGAAGGCAGCCGGCUAGACGAUGAUUGACGCUGAGGGACGAUAGCGUGGGGAGCAAACAGG
rnacentral:rRNA from 1 species